rnacentral:tRNA from 1 species
GGAGGUAUGGCUCAAGUUUUAUAGCACCUGCUUCAUAAGCACCAGGCCUUGAAUUCAAAUUCUAAUACCUCUA